CGAAGUGAUCUAGCCAUGGGCAGGUUGAAGGUUGAGUAACAUCAACAAUGGUAGGACCGAACCGACUAAUGUUGAAAAGUUAGGCGGAUGACUUGAUGGCUAGGGGUGAAAGGCCAAUCCAAACUCGGAGAUAGCUGGUUCUCCCCGAAAGCUAUUUAGGUAGCGCCUCGGACGAAGUACGUACUGGGGGUAGAGCACUGUUAAGCUAGGGGGUCAUCCCGACUUACCAACCCUUUGCAAACUCCGAAUACCAGUAAGUACUAUCCGGGAGACACACGGCGGGUGCUAACGUCCGUCGUGGAGAGGGAAACAACCCAGACCGCCAGCUAAGGUCCCAAAUUACAGCUAAGUGGGAAACGAUGUGGGAAGGCUUAGACAGCUAGGAUGUUGGCUUAGAAGCAGCCAUCAUUAAAGAAAGCGUAAUAGCUCACUAGUCGAGUCGGCCUGCGCGGAAGAUGUAACGGGGCU
rnacentral:rRNA from 1 species